rnacentral:rRNA from 1 species
UACGUAGGUGGCAAGCGUUAUCCGGAAUUAUUGGGCGUAAAGAGCGCGCAGGUGGUUAAUUAAGUCUGAUGUGAAAUCCCAUGGCUUAACCAUGGAACUGCUUUGGAAACUGUGCAGCUGGAGUGCAGGAGAGGUAAGCGGAAUUCCUAGUGUAGCGGUGAAAUGCGUAGAUAUUAGGAGGAACACCAGUGGCGAAGGCGGCUCACUGGACUGUAACUGACGUUGAGGCUCGAAAGCGUGGGGAGCAAACAGG